rnacentral:rRNA from 1 species
AGUUGAUCCUGGCUUAGGAUGAAUGCUGGCGGCAUGCCUAAUACAUGCAAGUCGAGCGGCAACGAGGGUUUCAUCCUAUUCUGGAAGUGAUUCGAGAGUAGAAUGAAACCUGUCGGCGAGCGGCGGACGGCUGAGUAACGCGUGGGAACGUACCCCAAACUGAGGGAUAACUAGUCGAAAGAUUAGCUAAUACCGCAUGUGAUCUUCGGAUUAAAGCUUUCGGGCGGUUUGGGAAUGGCCUGCGUACGAUUAGAUAGUUGGUGAGGUAAUGGCUCACCAAGUCGACGAUCGUUAGAUGGUUUGAGAGGAUGAUCAUCCAGACUGGGACUGAGACACGGCCCAGACUCCUACGGGAGGCAGCAGUAGGGAAUCUUUCACAACGGGCGAAAGCCUGAUGGGAAGCAAUGCCGCGUGCAGGACGAAGGCCUUCGGGUUGUAAACUGCUUUUAUAAGCGAGGAAUAUGACGGUAACUUAUGAAUAAGGAUCGGCUAACUACGUGCCAGCAGCUGC